rnacentral:rRNA from 1 species
CCUACGGGAGGCAGCAGUGGGGAAUAUUGGACAAUGGGGGGAACCCUGAUCCAGCCAUGCCGCGUGUGUGAAGAAGGCCUUAUGGUUGUAAAGCACUUUAAGCGAGGAGGAGGCUCUCUUGGUUAAUACCCAAGAAGAGUGGACGUUACUCGCAGAAUAAGCACCGGCUAACUCUGUGCCAGCAGCCGCGGUAAUACAGAGGGUGCGAGCGUUAAUCGGAUUUACUGGGCGUAAAGCGUGCGUAGGCGGCUUUUAAGUCGGAUGUGAAAUCCCCGAGCUUAACUUGGGAAUUGCAUUCGAUACUGGGAAGCUAGAGUAUGGGAGAGGAUGGUAGAAUUCCAGGUGUAGCGGUGAAAUGCGUAGAGAUCUGGAGGAAUACCGAUGGCGAAGGCAGCCAUCUGGCCUAAUACUGACGCUGAGGUACGAAGGCAUGGGGAGCAAACAGGAUUAGAUACCCUGGUAGUCCAUGCCGUAAACGAUGUCUACUAGCCGUUGGGGCCUUUGAGGCUUUAGUGGCGCNGNGACGACGAGUAAGUAAGUAACCGCCGUCGGGGUUAGGGUUACGGGUCGGCGAAGAACGUUAAAACCUUAACAAAGAAGUUAAGUUAGGACGGNGNGAGAGCGACGACGGACGACGACGGAGGAGGAG